CCCUUAGAUGUCCGGGGCCGCACGCGCGCUACACUGACACGUUCAUCAAGUCUAUAACCUUGACCGAGAGGUCUGGGUAAUCUUUUAAAAACGUGUCGUGCUGGGGAUAGAUUAUUGCAAUUAUUAAUCUUCAACGAGGAAUUCCUAGUAAACGCAAGUCAUCAACUUGCAUUGAUUACGUCCCUGCCCUUUGUACACACCGCCCGUCGCUACUACCGAUUGAAUGAUUUAGUGAGUACCAGGGACCGAGCGCUUUGGUUGGGUUUCCUUCCCUAGCGCUUGGGAACUGUCGCAAACUUGACCAUUUAGAGGAAGUAAAAGUCGUAACA
rnacentral:rRNA from 1 species